GGCAUGGCGGUCCUGCCAGGACAUACCUGUCUGUGGGUAGCUGUUUGCUAUGAAGUCCACACUGUUGUGACAAUGGCAUCCUUGUCCUUGGUUGUGGCAUUGCUUACUGAGCUGCUGACCUGGUGGGCUUGGGACAUUUCUCCUCAGUGCUCUGUGGAGCCCUCCUCUGCACCCCUCAGCUGUUCUGGCAUGGUGGCCCUGCACACAGGGGCCCAGGCUGAGUUGGACUCUGCAACAGCACGAGUGGAGCUGUGUGUGCCUGUGGACUUGUGCCCUCCCUGGGAGAGCGUCCCCUGGCCACUGUGUUACCGCUUGCUCAGAAGGGCCCAUCGUGCUUUGUAUGCUCACCCAGCAGGAGGGCUGGACAGCCAGGAGAGGCAGGGGUUGCCACCUGCCCUCAAGGCCUCAGCCCAUCUUUAGUGUAUCUGCAGGCAUCAGAGAGGUCAUUUGUCCCUUAACAUUAGGACCCUGGUCCAGGCCAGGCUAGAGGUAUGGGUCAUGCAGUGACCAACACACCUGGCGUCCUAGCCAUUCGUAUUUGGGAGUCUCCAGGAGCCUAGUCUCUUACUGCUUGGGGCUGUGAGGGGAUUGAGCCUGUAGGUAGGAGAGAUCUGUGCUCUGUGAGCCUUACGCCCUUUGAGCCAUGGUCAGUCUGGUAGGCCCUUUCCUGAGAAGCUCUGCCCUUGUGUUCCCACAGAUCCUAUGAAUGCACUCCAGAGCCUGACUGGCGGACCUGCUGCGGGAGCCGCUGGAAUUGGCAUGCCUCCUCGGGGCCCGGGACAGUCUCUGGGCGGGAUGGGUAGCCUUGGUGCCAUGGGACAGCCAAUGUCUCUCUCAGGGCAGCCGCCUCCUGGGACCUCGGGGAUGGCCCCUCACAGCAUGGCUGUCGUGUCUACGGCAACUCCACAGACCCAGCUGCAGCUCCAGCAGGUGGCGCUGCAGCAGCAGCAGCAACAGCAGCAGUUCCAGCAGCAGCAGCAGGCGGCGCUACAGCAGCAGCAGCAGCAGCAGCAACAGCAGCAGUUCCAGGCUCAGCAGAGUGCCAUGCAGCAGCAGUUCCAAGCAGUAGUGCAGCAGCAGCAGCAGCUCCAGCAGCAGCAGCAGCAGCAGCAGCAUCUAAUUAAAUUGCAUCAUCAAAAUCAGCAACAGAUACAGCAGCAGCAACAGCAGCUGCAGCGAAUAGCACAGCUGCAGCUCCAACAACAGCAACAGCAGCAGCAGCAGCAGCAGCAGCAGCAGGCUUUGCAGGCCCAGCCACCAAUUCAGCAGCCACCGAUGCAGCAGCCACAGCCUCCGCCCUCCCAGGCUCUGCCCCAGCAGCUGCAGCAGAUGCAUCACACACAGCACCACCAGCCGCCACCACAGCCCCAGCAGCCUCCAGUUGCUCAGAACCAACCAUCACAACUCCAGCCACAGUCGCAGACCCAGCCUUUGGUGUCACAGGCACAAGCUCUCCCUGGACAAAUGUUGUAUACCCAACCACCACUGAAAUUUGUCCGAGCUCCGAUGGUGGUGCAGCAGCCCCCAGUGCAGCCCCAGGUGCAGCAGCAGCAGACAGCAGUACAGACAGCUCAGGCUGCCCAGAUGGUGGCUCCCGGAGUCCAGGUCAGCCAGAGCAGCCUCCCCAUGCUGUCCUCGCCGUCACCGGGCCAGCAGGUGCAGACCCCGCAGUCGAUGCCCCCUCCCCCCCAGCCGUCCCCGCAGCCCGGCCAGCCCAGCUCACAGCCCAACUCCAACGUCAGCUCUGGCCCUGCCCCGUCUCCCAGUAGCUUCCUGCCCAGCCCCUCACCGCAGCCCUCCCAGAGCCCAGUGACGGCGCGGACCCCACAGAACUUCAGUGUCCCCUCACCUGGACCUUUAAACACACCUGUGAACCCCAGCUCUGUCAUGAGCCCAGCUGGCUCCAGCCAGGCUGAGGAGCAGCAGUACCUGGACAAGCUGAAGCAGCUGUCGAAGUACAUCGAGCCCCUGCGCCGCAUGAUCAACAAGAUCGACAAGAACGAAGACAGAAAAAAGGACCUGAGUAAGAUGAAGAGCCUUCUGGACAUUCUGACAGACCCCUCGAAGCGGUGUCCCCUGAAGACCUUGCAAAAGUGUGAGAUCGCCCUGGAGAAACUCAAGAAUGACAUGGCGGUGCCCACUCCCCCACCGCCCCCGGUGCCACCGACCAAACAGCAGUACCUAUGCCAGCCGCUCCUGGAUGCCGUCCUGGCCAACAUCCGCUCACCUGUCUUCAACCAUUCCCUGUACCGCACAUUCGUUCCAGCCAUGACCGCCAUUCACGGCCCACCCAUCACGGCCCCAGUGGUGUGCACCCGGAAGCGCAGGCUUGAGGAUGAUGAGCGGCAGAGCAUCCCCAGUGUGCUCCAGGGUGAGGUGGCCAGGCUGGACCCCAAGUUCCUGGUAAACCUGGACCCUUCUCACUGCAGCAACAAUGGCACUGUCCACCUGAUCUGCAAGCUGGAUGACAAGGACCUCCCAAGUGUGCCACCACUGGAGCUCAGUGUCCCCGCUGACUAUCCUGCCCAAAGCCCGCUGUGGAUAGACCGGCAGUGGCAGUACGACGCCAACCCCUUUCUCCAGUCGGUGCACCGCUGCAUGACCUCCAGGCUGCUGCAGCUCCCGGACAAGCACUCGGUCACCGCCUUGCUCAACACCUGGGCCCAGAGCGUCCACCAGGCCUGCCUCUCAGCCGCCUAGCCAAGACUGCAGGGAUGGCCCGCAGCCUCAUCGGGGCCAAGGACACACGCCUCCUGUCAGACACUUCUAGGUGUUGGCUUCCUUAGAGAGCCUGGGGUUAGGUUAGCUUUCCUGCUUUUAUCUUCUGCCUUGGGGACCUGCCAAACGAAAUCCCACAGCUGUACAGAACUGGGAUAGGCGCAGUGGAGCGGGUUGUUGGGGGCCAUUGGCCGACUUCUUAGAGAAGGCCCUCCAUGUGACUUCCUCCCAGGAGCCAGAUGCCAUCCUCGGGCUGCUCUCACCGUGGCCUGUCCACAGUCCAGGUCCAUCUCAGCAGCGUGAGGGUGCACUCAGGGUGUUGUUAGAGCGUCUCGUGUGUGCUAGACACACCCCUACUCGUUCCUAUAGGAGAACACAGAGGACAUAGGAAACCCUUAAAACACACAUGGGAUUCUCUGGUCACAGUUUUGGGUUCAGGCUACGCUGCUUUGGGUAGGUGGAGCACCCCCCGAGGAAGCCCGCAAGUCCAGGGCACAGGCUGCCUUUUGGAGGGAGGGCUGGCCCAUAGGUGCUGCUGACUCCCCGCCACCAGCUGGGCCUCAGCCCUCACGGCAUUCCUGCUGAGCACCGUGGGGCACCCAGGGAGCAGGGGCGUCGGGGAUCCUGCUGCCGGCACCCCUGUGCCGCUGGCAUGAGGGCCGUGUCCCCACUGUGAAGGAUGAAGAGCAAGGCCCUCAGGACCCGUGUCCUCAGAGCACCACACACUGAGCCACCCAGAGACAGCGGGCCUGGCAGCGGGCCGGGCCAUGCAGGGAGCGCCUCCCUAUGUUGCCUGCCACUCUGGGCACCGGCCAGCACCCUCUGGUGAGAAGAGGUCCCCCCUUUUUAUGUGCACUACCCCACCAUCUGUGAUUAUAAUAAAUUUAUUAUUCCUGUG
rnacentral:sRNA from 1 species